GAGGGUACAGCUCAGUGGUAGAGUGUGUGCUUAGCAUGCAGGAGGUCCUGGGUUCAAUCCCCAGUACCUCCA
rnacentral:tRNA from 1 species